AGUGAACGCUGGCGGUAGGCCUACCCCUGGAAGGUGGACCGCGACACCGUAAAAGCUUGCUCUUGAGGGGGGGCGGUGGCGGACGGGGGCUGAAGUGCACGGAAACUACUUUUUCGGGGGGGAUAACGGUGGGGAAGCUUCGCUUAUACCUCCUCCGGCCCUCAGUUGCAAGCCAGGGAAUUUUCGACCCUGCCCCGUUCGAUUAAGCCGGUGUCGAAUUAGCUAGUUGGGGGGGUACAGGCCCACCAAGGCGACGAUCCGUAGCUGGUCUGAGAGGAUGAUCAGCCACACUGGAACUGAGACACGGUCCAGACUCCUACGGGAGGCAGCAGUGGGGAAUAUUGGACAAUGGGCGCAAGCCUGAUCCAGCCAUACCGCGUGGGUGAAGAAGGCCUUCGGGUUGUAAAGCCCUUUUGUUGGGAAAGAAAAGCAGCAGGUUAAUACCCCGCUGUUCUGACGGUACCCAAAGAAUAAGCACCGGCUAACUUCGUG
rnacentral:rRNA from 1 species